rnacentral:lncRNA from 1 species
AGCGCUAAGGCAUGUGGUGCCCUCUCUCUCUCUCCCCCUCCCUCCCUCUCCCCCUCUGCUGUCUACAGAGCACCCUUCAGCUGCGGGUCACCCCACCAGGAUCACAGUCGGCGGCCCCACCAGACCAUGCCUCGGCCUGUCCCCUUCGAGGCACCUCGUUUCAGGCCAGGACUUGACAGCAUCGUGGGCCACCGUUAUCCAAGCUGACGCAGACUGCGCGCGCUUUGUCCUCUGGCAGCAACGGCGGCGACGGGGCCGGAUCUCCUCCACGCCAAGGGCCUGCCAGGCCCCCGCAUUGCGGCCGCUCCCGCCAUCCCAGCAGGACACGGGGCAUCGGGCACACCCGCAGACGGCGUUGGUUCCUUUGGGUGCUGGAGGUAACGUCUCUUUUCUGUUCUGUAAGGUGGUUCCCGAAGGAGGGGUCGGUGCCCCCCCCCUUUUGCCCUCCUUGGUGGGCGAAAGGCCAAUGCCACCCGGGGAACGUCUUCUUCCAGGACUUCGGGGGCUCCGGCAGAGCGACAGAGCCUUUACCCUCAACUUACCCUGGGUGUUC